UAAAACAAUUUUGUUUAAUUCACUUAACAGCCCUCUUUUUAAAUUAUUUUUGUUUUACAAUGAAACAUACAUGCAUACCUACUUAUAUACAGUAAAAAAGCUUGACAAAGAUUGCAAUUAAAUCACUUAUUUUUUUUUAAUAAUCACUAUAAGUGGGCUUUCUAUAACUUCUAAUGCACAAGUUUGGAGAGGUUUUGCGUGAAAAGCAGAUAGAACUUGCAAGUCGUUGUUGACAAAAUAAGGAAGGUACUCAUGCAAUGGAUAAGUCAAAACUAUUAAAAGAUUAUUAAUACUUAUUGAGUUUUGGGGGAAAAUGUAUGGGCAUAUGGCAAGAAUACAGACCAGAGCCUGGUAACACACAGAUCUGUGAUUAAUCUAAUUAUUGAGCAAUUCUGAUUAUAUAAUGACCAAAUGUUCUAAUAACAAUGUAUCAUGAAUGGCAUUUUACAACUGAUCACAAAGCUUUGUGUUAAAGGGGUUAAAAUUGCAUACAAAGUUUUUUUAAAUAUUUUUCAAAUAUAAAAGUAUUCUACUUUUACAUGAAUGUGUAUUAAAAUGAAACAAGCCUUAAUAUUUUAAACUCUUGCUUAAAACUGCAUAGUAAGUGAAUAAACUCUAAACUAAAUCACAAUUUUUCAUGAAAUAAAACCUGAAAAACCUCCGGUUGAUUAAAUUUGACUGCUCUUGCUGGAUAUGUAAUAUCUGUCUUGAAAUAC